rfam:Caenorhabditis brenneri strain PB2801 C_brenneri-6.0.1_Cont205.14, whole genome shotgun sequence.
AGAGUUAAAGGCGUAUCUCUACUAUAAAAUGGAUAGUAGAGGUAUACCCAUUAGCUCUGA